GAUGAACGCUGGCGGCGUGCCUAAUACAUGCGAGUCGAGCGAACAGACGAGGAGCUUGCUCCUCUGACGUUAGCGGCGGACGGGUGAGUAACACGUGGAUAACCUACCUAUAAGACUGGGAUAACUUCGGGAAACCGGAGCUAAUACCGGAUAAUAUAUUGAACCGCAUGGUUCAAUAGUGAAAGACGGUUUUGCUGUCACUUAUAGAUGGAUCCGCGCUGCAUUAGCUAGUUGGUAAGGUAACGGCUUACCAAGGCAACGAUGCGUAGCCGACCUGAGAGGGUGAUCGGCCACACUGGAACUGAGACACGGUCCAGACUCCUACGGGAGGCAGCAGUAGGGAAUCUUCCGCAAUGGGCGAAAGCUUGACGGAGCAACGCCGCGUGAGUGAUGAAGGUCUUCGGAUCGUAAAACUCUGUUAUUAGGGAAGAACAAAUGUGUAAGUAACUGUGCACGUCUUGACGGUACCUAAUCAGAAAGCCACGGCUAACUACGUG
rnacentral:rRNA from 1 species